ACUAUGCGGCGCUUCAAAUAUACCGCAGGCUUGCAUGACACAUUGGUGAAGGUCUUGUUCAUUUUUUGUCUCGACUGCUACAGUAUGCACUUCAGCAGUAAGUUUUUUCGGUCCUGUACUCCCGACAAAUGAUAAUUUUGGCAGCUGAUGGCCAAAGAACCUCUGGGAAAGCUAGGGUUCAAAGACCUGAUGGACAAACCCAGCCAGGAGGCACAAGGAGGCCAAACCCUGAACUUCCCUUCCUAUACAGAUGGAUAAGAUCAUUGUUGUAAAACAUUUUUUAACCUUUAACUGCUGCAGUGAUAUACUAAACAUGAGAUAGUGUCCCCUCUUCCUCUCCAUGUGUAUACAAUUAAAAUGCAAUAUUGUGGACGGCGUUUCAAGCUUCGUAUAAAUAUUUAGGUAAAUGAA